UGACGUUUCCGCAUUUCUAUUUUUUAAUUUUUAUUCUGUUAUUUCGUUUUCUUUCCGAGUCAACGCCCUCCAACGUUACUUCGUUUAAACGAUUCAUCGUAUCGAUAGGAAGUUCGAGAAACGAAACGCGUUUUUAUUUUCAUUUCGCAAUGAUUAAAUUCGAACGAAAGAAAAAGCCCGAUUUCGUUCGACUACGACGAUAGGAUCCUAAAUGCGGUUAAAGGGAAUUUCAUUUUGGACCGUUUCUCCCCCAAAUGCUACUGGAAAUAACAUUCGAAACGAAUUCUCUAUCCAUGACAGCCCUCAACAAUGGGUUACGAUAAAAAAAAAGAAAAGAAAGAAAGAAAGAAAGAAAAGAAGAAAAAAAGAAACCGAAAGAAGAAUCGCAAAUAGGUUUGCAAGUGAAUUAAAAUCGAAAAUUACUUCGGUGUUAAUCGUUACGACUGAACUUUAUCGUUGAUCGUGUAUUAAAAAAUUGCGUAUUAAAAAAA